rnacentral:tRNA from 1 species
UAAAAAACAUUGGUCUUGUAAGCCAAAGACUGAAGGCUACACCCCUUCUUAGAGUU